rnacentral:rRNA from 1 species
CUUCGGGUAUGGGAUCGGAAUGAGUGGUAUUUAAAACCACCAACGAGUAACAAUUGGAGGACAAGUCUGGUGCCAGCACCCGCGGUAAUUCCAGCUCCAAUAGCGUAUAUUAAUGUUGUUGCUGUUAAAGGGUUCGUAGUUGAACGCAGGGUUUGGGAGUUGUGUGGCCAUUGUGGCCAUCACGCCAUCCCAUCCCUGUUUUUUAGACGGGAUCGAUUGCCUUGCCUUGGUGGCUCCUUUUUUGGACGUUGCCUUGGCUGUUGAGUGAAGAGCUCAAAUGUACACAUGACCACAUGUUACAGGCCGCCCGUCGUUAUCACUGUGAAGAAAACAGCGUGUUCAAGGCAGCCGCCUCGCGGCUGAAUGACAAAGCAUGGAAUGACAAAGCAUCGACCAAUGGGUCUGGCUUUUGUUGGUUUUUACAACCCAUUUGGACAUUUCGUGAUCGGUAAUCACGAUCCACUUCGGUGGACUCCGAUUCCGAGCAGACACGGGAUUAAUGGGGGUUGUCGGGGGAAAACGUAUCUGAGCGAGAGAGGUGAAAUUCUUAGACCGCUCGGGGACGAACUUAUGCGAAGGCAUUUUCCAAGUAUACCUUCAUCAAUCAAGAACUAAAGUGUGGAGAUCGAAGAUGAUUAGAUACCAUUGUAGUCCACGACUGCAAACGAUGACGCCCAUGGAUCGGGAGUGAAUACUCACCCUCCGCGAUGGGAUUUUUUCGGCGCUGCUCUACCCUAUUAACGCGAAAGCUGAGGCUAUGGUCUCAUGGGGGAGUACGUCCGCAAGGAUGAAACUUAAAGAAAUUGACGGAAUGGCACCACCAGGCGUGGAGUGUGCGGUUUAAUUUGACUCAACACGGGGAACCUUACCAGUACAGGAAAACGCAAGGAUUGACAGAUUGAUAGUUCUUUCUUGAUUCGUUUGACGGUGGUGCAUGGCCGCUUUUGGUCGGUGAAGUGAUUUGUUUGGUUGAUUCCUUUAACGGACGAGACCCAAACCGCUUAAUAGGGGCACCAUCUGCCUUCGGGCAUGCGGGGCUGGGGUGAGAUUUCGGUCUUUGCUCUGGCCUCAGAUGGCGAUACUCCUUCUUCGCGGCAUUCCCUGCUCCUUAGCUGGGUGGAAUUUUGGGCAACAGCAGGUCCGUGAUGCUCCUAAAUGUACUGGGCGACACGCGCACUACAAUGACAAAGUGAAUGAGUGAAACCUUCUUUGGUCCUGCCUCGAAAAGGGGUGGGAAAACUGGAAAAACUAUGUCGUGCUAGGGAUCGAAGCUUGCAAUUAUUCUUCGUGAACGAGGAAUGCCUAGUAGAUGUGCUUCAUCAAAGCGCAUUGACUACGUCCCUGCCAUUUGUACACACCGCCCGUCGUUGUUACCGAUGCCAGUUGGAUACAGGUCAACGGACCUUCUGAUGUCUUCGGUCAUCAGAGGGACAAGUUGCCCCAUGUUUAACUA